rnacentral:tRNA from 1 species
GAGCGGGGCGCGCCCGCAUCGAAAGUCUGCUAAAUCAUCGUCCCUUGGUUAGACCCCAAGGCCCGCUCG